rnacentral:rRNA from 1 species
CCUACGGGGGGCUGCAGUGGGGAAUAUUGGACAAUGGGCGAAAGCCUGAUCCAGCAAUGCCGCGUGAGUGAUGAAGGCCUUAGGGUUGUAAAGCUCUUUCGCCUGCGACGAUGAUGACGGUAGCAGGAGAAGAAGCCCCGGCUAAUUCCGUGCCAGCAGCCGCGGUAAUACGGAAGGGGCUAGCGUUGUUCGGAAUUACUGGGCGUAAAGCGCGCGUAGGCGGCUGGGUAAGUGUGGCGUGAAAGUCCUGGGCUCAACCUGGGGACGGCGCUGCAGACUGCCUGGCUGGAGUCCGGAAGAGGGUAGUGGAAUUCCGAGUGUAGAGGUGAAAUUCGUAGAUAUUCGGAGGAACACCGGUGGCGAAGGCGGCUACCUGGUCCGGUACUGACGCUGAAGUGCGAAAGCGUGGGGAGCAAACAGGAUUAGAUACCCGGGUAGUC